GACGAACGCUGGCGGCGUGCUUAACACAUGCAAGUCGAGCGGUAAGGCCCUUUCGGGGUACGACGAGCGGCGAACGGGUGAGUAACACGUGGGUGACCUGCCCUUACGCUCUGGGAUAAGCCUGGGAAACUGGGUCUAAUACCGGAUAUGACUCCAUGACGCAUGUUGUGGGGUGGAAAGCCUUGUGCGGCUAGGGAUGGGCCCGCGGCCUAUCAGCUUGUUGGUGGGGUGAUGGCCACCAAGGCGACGACGGGUAGCCGGCCUGAGAGGGCGACCGGCCACACUGGGACUGAGACACGGCCCAGACUCCUACGGGAGGCAGCAGUGGGGAAUCUUGCGCAAUGGGCGAAAGCCUGACGCAGCGACGCCGCGUGAGGGAUGACGGCCUCGG
rnacentral:rRNA from 1 species